rnacentral:lncRNA from 1 species
GAUGCAGAGCCUGAUUGCAUUCCUAACAUGAUUCCUGCUGAAAGCUGCAAGCUGGGGGAGGGCACUCACCAGAAGUGUGACCCCUCAGCGAACCGCUGGUAGAUCAGACUCUGGAACCUCUCUGGGGAGGAGGGGAGUGUCUCUCACCGCUGUUGGCUUGUGUUCUGCCUUCCAGAUUAGCUGCAGUUUGCAACAAUGGACUGACAGCCUGACUCCACUUCCCUCACCUUCCUCUUGCUGCACACACCUUAAACUGCUCCUGGAAGCUUUCCCCUCUUUCUGAAGAAAAAUGCUUGUGCUGCCUUCACAAGCUGCUUGGAGCCACUUCAGAUUCAGACGAACUGCGGAGCCCACAUCACAUGUGACAGUGCAACUAUGAGACAGCAGGGGUGGACCAGCUCCCACACGGUGCCCACAGAACACCUCCACAUGCCAUUCACACUCAGCAGGCCGUGAACUCCUGCCGCUGAGAGAACUGUUUGGAACUGACCCCCUCAGGUGGUCCCUCUGAAAGCAAGGACUGAACUGAAUUGCUUGGACCAGACUGAGAACCCUGGAGCAGGAGGAACCAUGGUGCCUCUGUGAUCACAGAUUGCCACUUGACUCCACUUGGUACAAAGACAGUCUUCCAUACAGCUGAUGACAGUGGAAAUGAAGAUCAGGCCAAAACAACCCCCACCAACACUGGCAUGUCAUAAUAUUAAAUGUCAUGAUGCCACCUACAGAGAUAAUUUUUGUUUAUGUUGGCUAGGUUUUUAAUAUUUUUGAAGCCUUACUUAAACCCUGAUAAAACUUCUUGCAAUCAAGUUAAUGGUUAACAUCUUAACAUUUAUUAUAUCUUAAUAUUACAAAUUUGAUUUUAGCAGGUUCAAAAGAGAGGGUAGCUAAACUUGUGAAAAUA